UAUACUGUAAAUGAUGCUCGCUAGGUGUUUUCAUCAAUUUAUUGGUGGGAGUGCCGUAAGCUAACGCGUUAAGCGAGUCGCCUGGGUAGUAUAGUCGCAAGACUGAAACUCAAAGGGAUAGGCGGGGGAACACACAAGCAGUGGAUUGCCUCGAUUAAUUGGAUAAUAAGCCAAGAAUCUUACCUCGGCUUGACAUCUGUAGAAUUUUUUCGAAAGUUUAAAGUGCCUGGUUUACCAGGAGCUACAAGACAGGUGC
rnacentral:rRNA from 1 species